AUUGAACGCUGGCGGCGGGCCUAACACAUGCAAGUCGAGCGGAGCGGCGGACGGGUGAGUAAUGCCUAGUAAGCUGCCCGGUAGUGGCGGAUCCCGCCCGGAGGCGGGCGCUAAUACCGCAUACUAUCAGAUGAGCCUAGGUCGGCUCAGCUGGUUGGUGGGGUAAAGGCCUACCAAGGCGACGAUCCGUAACUGGUCUGAGAGGAUGAUCAGUCACACUGGAACUGAGACACGGUCCAGACUCCUACGGGAGGCAGCAGUGGGGAAUAUUGCACAAUGGGCGAAAGCCUGAUGCAGCAAUGCCGCGUGAAUGAAGAAGGCCUUCGGGUUGUAAAGUACUUUCGGCAGGGAGGCGUUACCCAAAGAAGAAGCACCGGCUAACUCCGUGCCAGCAGCCGCGGUAAUUC
rnacentral:rRNA from 1 species